GGCUUGUUAGCUCAGUUGGUAGAGCACUGCACCAGCAUUGCAGAAGUCAUGGGUUUGAAUCCUGUACAGGCCU
rnacentral:tRNA from 1 species